CACCUCGCGCCGCCAGGGAGAGCCUCGUUCGAUCCCUCACCAUCUUCCCCCGCGCCGCUCCGCAGCUCUCCGACGCUCCUCUGGCGGGUCGCAGCUGUCGUUCAUCUGCGAGGCAACCACCGCGCCCCUCUUCUUCAGCGUCGCGCUGGACCUCCUUCCCCGGGUGCAUCCGUCGGUCGCCGCCGCUCGAUCCGCACCUCUCCAACAAGCUACGGCCUCGUCGAGCCUCCAUCAAGCUCCGCUGUGAGCCGCCGUCCGUUUCCCCCUAUCCCCUUGCUUGAUUUGGCCGUCCCUGGCGCCGUUGCCGCAAGGCCGAGCUCCGGCCGCCGUCGGGCUUGCGCGUAGGCAUCGCUCCAGCCAUCCCCUGCCUCGGCCGCUUGCGGCAUUAGAUGUGCGGCUGCAAGCUGAACCCAUAGGCUCAAGCCACGCCUCAAGUGGCCGCUGGAGUCUCCCGUUUGAUCGUCGCCGCCGCCGCUGUGCACCGCCACCGGCCGUCGUUCGUACGGUCAACUCCGGCUGUUCUCCCGCUCCGCCUACUGCUGUCGCCCGUUGCUUUCACGCUCACCCUGCUGCUUCUUCUCCUAGCGCCUUGGCGUUGCUUGCGCUGCUGCUGCUCUACGUAUUGAUGCUGUUUUGCUCCUUGCUGCCGCUGCUUGCUGAUGCUUUGCUUCUGCUGCAUACUAGAUGCUGCCCGUGAUUGCAUGCUCUUGCCGCUGCUGGCCGUGGCCGCCAUGCACACCCGUGCGUGUGUGCCCAAGAACACCAAUGAUUGGAUUGGGCCAUGGCCGUUGGAGCUACCCCUGUUUAGACUAGAUGAUAAUUAGUGUUUAGAUUAGUAUACAUACAGAUGACAUGCGGGUCCCCUGGAGAUUAAAAUAAAUAACCAAAAUAAUUUUAGCUACUGCCUAUGACAGCAGGGUGCUGCUGACACUGUUCACUUUGACCGGUCAACUUUGACUGGGUUGUUGACUAGGUCAACUCUGCUGACUGGACCACUCCUGGACCCCAUUGGUCAUACACUCAGGCUAAUGUAGAGCUAGGUGACAAAUGUAUAUUCUGUUUUUUUAUUUUGAAUUAAAAGUAAUUUCAAAAAAUGUUUAGAAUUUAGAAAAAUCAUAUAAAAUAAACCAUAGCUCGGAUUAAAAUACUUUGUACAUGAAAGUUGCUCAGAACGACGAGACGAAUCUGAACGCGCGGUUCGUUUGUCCGCCACACGUUCCUAGCAUAGCAAACGUUGAACCUUUCCCCUUCGGUUCAUCUGUCCAACAAACGUCCGGAACCAGGAAAACUUUCCCGGAUGUUCCCCUUUGCCAGUAUCGCCUAGCAUUGCGUUAGAACACCUCUAGCACUGCUUAUUGUCUUGUUAUGCUUAUGUUUGCGUGUAUUUACUGUUUCUUCUCCCUCUUCUUCUCCGGUAGACCUCGAGACCGUUGUUGAUGCCCUUGUGAUCGAAUAUGUCUACGAUGACCCUCCUUCUUGUCUGAGCAACCAGGCAAGCCCCCCUUUGAUCAUCUCGAUAUCGCCCAUUCCAUUCUCUCAUGCUUGCAUUAGAUUUUUCUACUGUAAUUGACUGCUUCUAUUCUGAUGCAUAGCCUGCUUUUGUAACCUGCUAUUGUACCUUACAUGCUUAUCCUAAAAUUGCUUAGAAUAGGUUGGUUAGUGAUCCAUCAGUGACGCCCACCUUGUCAUUGUUGCCCCUGCUUCAUCAUCGACGACUCGAUCAACGUGACUGAUGACCAGAGCCCAACACCUUACAUCAUAUCACGCCCCUUUUUGUUGCUCGACUCUGCAGAGUUACUAUCGAGUGCCGAGGGUGGAACCUCAUACAUCACUCCUGAUGAGAUCUCUGUAGUGUAGCUAUUCGGUCAUGGUCAACGAGGGUGGUUCCUCCUUCACCAUUCCUUAUACGGCUUUGUUGUGGAACACCUCAAGUGUGAACCUCGGGUGGUUCCUCUUACGUUCAUCUUGAUGAUUACAUCGAGUGGAAUCCUCGGAGGGUGAUUCCUUGGGGUUUCUCCCUGAUGUUUGGACACACGGUUACCUUGACUUUACUUCAGACCUUGGUGAAAGUCGGGCAGGCCCGGAGAGCACCCGCAAUAUAAUGACGUUGCACGGCCGGGCAUUCUGGGUCCUUGUCGUAAGUCCACGAGACGGGGCGACGGGGUCACUUCGAUCGUGAGUCUCUGCUCGCCUCCGCAAACUAAUAAUACACUAUGGUUUGGGUAUUUGUUCUGAGUUGGCCUCUGGCCUUUACGCACUAACCACCAUGCGAGAAUAGUUAUGGGCCUCAACGUCGUAGUAUUAGCCGAAGCUUUGUCAGACGUCCAGUUCAGCAUCGUGGGCCUGUCGGGCCAGUGCCAUCCAGUAUGAGGUGGUGCUCGUCCCGGCUCGUCGCACAACGACCCGGAGUGCUACGGGCGAUGGGCCCAAGACCCCGGAGUGGUUAGGAUGUAGAACGACGGUGACCUCUCUGCUGAGCCUAGGUAGGGCUACAACAUGUUGAUAUUUCGAGGCCGGGCAUUGACCCAAAAAAAUGUGUCCGGCGAGAGUAAUCAAGCGUGUUGGAAAACAUGGUGCACCCCUGCAGGGAAGAUUAUCUAUUAAUAGCCGUGUCCGCGAUAACAGACGUUCAGACUUAUAUCCUGAUCUUACACAACUACAAAUGGAUACUUGAGAUAUGUGGCUCCGGAAUUGCUUUUUGGCAGGGAGUCGAGGAAGGAUCUCUGGGCAUUAAUGUUAUACAUGUUUGUUAAUUAAACUGCUAUUCUUUACUCUCCUACAUGCUGCAAGAUGUUUGGAGCUGCUUGAAGAUGCUAGUCUUCGAUAGGCUAGGCCUUCCCCCUCUAUUCUGGCAUUCGCAGUUCAGUCCACAGAUACAAACCUUUCAUUUGAUACGAAUGCAUACUUAGUAUAGGUCUGAUGCUUGCGAGUACUUUGGAUGAGUACUCACGGUUGCUUUGCUACCCCUUUUCCCCCAUUCCUUAUUCUUUCCGGUUGAUGCAACCAGAUGGUGGAUCCCUGGAGCCAGAUGCCACCGCUAACGGAUACUACUACAUGGAGGUCGUCCGCGACCAGGAGUAGUUAGGAGGUCCCAGGUAGGUGGCCUUGCCUCUUCGAUCGUGUUGUUUUUUGUGCUAGCCUUGUUAAGGCAUCCUUGUUUAACUUAUGUCUGUACUCAGAUAAUGUUGCUUCCGCUGACUCUUGUGUAUCGAGCUUGUAUUCGAUCCCUCGAGGCCCCUGGCUUGUAAUAUAAAGCUUGUAUUAUUUUAAUUUGUGUCUAG
rnacentral:lncRNA from 1 species